GAUGAACGCUGGCGGCGUGCCUAACACAUGCAAGUCGAGCGAAGCACUUUGCUUAGAUUCUUCGGAUGAAGAGGAUUGUGACUGAGCGGCGGACGGGUGAGUAACGCGUGGGUAACCUGCCUCAUACAGGGGGAUAACAGUUAGAAAUGACUGCUAAUACCGCAUAAGACCACAGCACCGCAUGGUGCGGGGGUAAAAACUCCGGUGGUAUGAGAUGGACCCGCGUCUGAUUAGCUGGUUGGUAAGGUAACGGCUUACCAAGGCGACGAUCAGUAGCCGACCUGAGAGGGUGACCGGCCACAUUGGGACUGAGACACGGCCCAAACUCCUACGGGAGGCAGCAGUGGGGAAUAUUGCACAAUGGGGGAAACCCUGAUGCAGCGACGCCGCGUGAGCGAAGAAGUAUUUCGGUAUGUAAAGCUCUAUCAGCAGGGAAGAAAAUGACGGUACCUGACUAAGAAGCACCGGCUAAAUACGUGCCAGCAGCCGCGGUAAUACGUAUGGUGCAAGCGUUAUCCGGAUUUACUGGGUGUAAAGGGAGCGUAGACGGAUGGGCAAGUCUGAUGUGAAAACCCGGGGCUCAACCCCGGGACUGCAUUGGAAACUGUUCAUCUAGAGUGCUGGAGAGGUAAGUGGAAUUCCUAGUGUAGCGGUGAAAUGCGUAGAUAUUAGGAGGAACACCAGUGGCGAAGGCGGCUUACUGGACAGUAACUGACGUUGAGGCUCGAAAGCGUGGGGAGCAAACAGGAUUAGAUACCCUGGUAGUCCACGCCGUAAACGA
rnacentral:rRNA from 1 species